rnacentral:rRNA from 2 species
UUUUUAAGUCUGAUGUGAAAGCCCUCGGCUUAACCGAGGAAGCGCAUCGGAAACUGGGAAACUUGAGUGCAGAAGAGGACAGUGGAACUCCAUGUGUAGCGGUGAAAUGCGUAGAUAUAUGGAAGAACACCAGUGGCGAAGGCGGCUGUCUGGUCUGUAACUGACGCUGAGGCUCGAAAGCAUGGGUAGCGAACAGGAUUAGAUACCCUGGUAGUCCAUGCCGUAAACGAUGAAUGCUAGGUGUUGGAGGGUUUCCGCCCUUCAGUGCCGCAGCUAACGCAUUAAGCAUUCCGCCUGGGGAGUACGACCGCAAGGUUGAAACUCAAAGGAAUUGACGGGGGCCCGCACAAGCGGUGGAGCAUGUGGUUUAAUUCGAAGCAACGCGAAGAACCUUACCAGGUCUUGACAUCUUUUGAUCACCUGAGAGAUCAGGUUUCCCCUUCGGGGGCAAAAUGACAGGUGGUGCAUGGUUGUCGUCAGCUCGUGUCGUGAGAUGUUGGGUUAAGUCCCGCAACGAGCGCAACCCUUAUGACUAGUUGCCAGCAUUUAGUUGGGCACUCUAGUAAGACUGCCGGUGACAAACCGGAGGAAGGUGGGGAUGACGUCAAAUCAUCAUGCCCCUUAUGACCUGGGCUACACACGUGCUACAAUGGAUGGUACAACGAGUUGCGAGACCGCGAGGUCAAGCUAAUCUCUUAAAGCCAUUCUCAGUUCGGACUGUAGGCUGCAACUCGCCUACACGAAGUCGGAAUCGCUAGUAAUCGCGGAUCAGCACGCCGCGGUGAAUACGUUCCCGGGCCUUG